rnacentral:tRNA from 1 species
GAAUGUAUAGCUCAGUAGUACAGUGUGUGCUUACCACACAUGAGGUCCUGGGUUCAAUCCCCAGUACCGCCA